UACGGGGGGUGCGAGCGUUGUCCGGAAUCACUGGGCGUAAAGGGCGCGUAGGUGGUUUGAUAAGGGUGUGGUGAAAGUCCGGGGCUCAACCCCGGAUCUGCCGUGCCGACUGUCAAACUCGAGGGUUGUAGAGGCAGACGGAAUUCCGGGUGUAGCGGUGGAAUGCGUAGAUAUCGUCAGGAACGCCAAUGGUGAAGACAGGUGACUGGGCUAGUUCUGACACUGAGGCACGAAAGCGUGGGGAGCGAACGGG
rnacentral:rRNA from 1 species